rnacentral:rRNA from 1 species
GACGAACGCUGGCGGCGUGCUUAACACAUGCAAGUCGAACGGAAAGGCCCUGCUUUUGCGGGGUGCUCGAGUGGCGAACGGGUGAGUAACACGUGAGUAACCUGCCCUUGACUUUGGGAUAACUUCAGGAAACUGGGGCUAAUACCGGAUAGGAGCUCCUGCUGCAUGGUGGGGGUUGGAAAGUUUCGGCGGUUGGGGAUGGACUCGCGGCUUAUCAGCUUGUUGGUGGGGUAGUGGCUUACCAAGGCUUUGACGGGUAGCCGGCCUGAGAGGGUGACCGGCCACAAUGGUACUGAGAUACGGCGCAGACUGCUACGGGAGGCAGCAGGGGAGAAUAUGGCACAAUGGGCGGAAGCCUGAUGCGGCGGCGCUGCGUGCGGGAAGACGGCCUUCGGGUGGUGAACCGCUGUCGCCUGUGACGAAGCGUGAGUGACGGUAAUGGGUAAAGAAGCACCGGCUAACUACGUG